rnacentral:rRNA from 1 species
AGUUGUAAUUUGGAGAGGGCAACUUUGGGGCCGUUCCUUGUCUAUGUUCCUUGGAACAGGACGUCAUAGAGGGUGAGAAUCCCGUGUGGCGAGGAGUGCGGUUCUUUGUAAAGUGCCUUCGAAGAGUCGAGUUGUUUGGGAAUGCAGCUCUAAGUGGGUGGUAAAUUCCAUCUAAAGCUAAAUAUUGGCGAGAGACCGAUAGCGAACAAGUACAGUGAUGGAAAGAUGAAAAGAACUUUGAAAAGAGAGUGAAAAAGUACGUGAAAUUGUUGAAAGGGAAGGGCAUUUGAUCAGACAUGGUGUUUUGUGCCCUCUGCUCCUUGUGGGUAGGGGAAUCUCGCAUUUCACUGGGCCAGCAUCAGUUUUGGUGGCAGGAUAAAUCCAUAGGAAUGUAGCUUGCCUCGGUAAGUAUUAUAGCCUGUGGGAAUACUGCCAGCUGGGACUGAGGACUGCGACGUAAGUCAAGGAUGC